AGCGAACGCUGGCGGCAGGCCUAACACAUGCAAGUCGAACGCCCCUUCGGGGGAGUGGCCGACGGGUGAGUAACGCGUGGGAACGUGCCCAUCGGUUCGGAACAACCCAGGGGAACUUGGGCUAAGACCGGAUACGUGCGAGAGCAGAAAGAUUUAUCGCCGAUGCAGGGGCGCGCAUCGGAUUAGCUUGUUGGUGGGGUAACGGCCCACGAAGGCGACGAUCAGUAGCUGGGCUGAGAGGAUGAGCAGCGACACUGGGACGGGGCCACGGCCCAGACUCUUACGGGAGGCAGCAGUGGGGAAUAUUGGACAAUGGGCGCAAGGAUGAUCCAGCCAUGCUGCGUGAGUGAUUACGGCCCUAGGGUUGUAAAGCUCUUUCGCACGCGACGAUAAUGACGGUAGCGUGAGAAGAAGCCCCGGCUAACUUCGUGCCAGCCGCCGCGGUAAGAC
rnacentral:rRNA from 1 species